rnacentral:sRNA from 1 species
CCUUAAGUAGAUCUUUUUCAGGAAAGCAGAUUCCAUCUAACAUUAUAAAGAAAGCUUAAAUAAAUGGGCAUAUGUACUGAUGCUCGUGUUAUCUGUUGUUUUAAAAGCCUUUGGAAGACUUUAUGGGUAAAUAUUAUCACAUAGAAUGAGAUAUUUUUAUUUCUCUACAGAAACAAAAAAGGAACUGGUCCUAGAAAGCAACCCAAAGUGGGAGGCACUGACUGAAGUAUUAAAAGAAAUUGAGGCAGAAAAUAAGGAGAGUGAAGCUCUUGGUGGUCCAGGUCAAGUACUGAUUUGUGCAAGUGAUGACCGAACAUGUUCCCAGCUGAGAGACUAUAUCACUCUUGGAGCGGAGGCCUUCUUAUUGAGGCUCUACAGGAAAACCUUUGAGAAGGAUAGCAAAGCUGAAGAAGUCUGGAUGAAAUUUAGGAAGGAAGACAGUUCAAAGAGAAUUAGGAAACCUCACAAAAGACCUAAAGACCCCCAAAACAAAGAACGGGCUUCUACCAAAGAAAGAACCCUC